AAAUAAUCUACCAAUAAAUACUAGACAGAGAUUCUGCUAACUACUAAAUAUUUUUUUAGAAUCAGGAAAACACCAUAACUUUACAAAGUUUUAACAUCAGCUACAAACAAAUGACCAAUAUGUUUUUCCCAAAUCCCCUUUCCUGUGUUGGGCAUUUGGUACAGUCCAGGCCUAAUGGCAGGUAUUUAAGCCUGCUGCUGCCUCAGCCCAGUCUUUUUGUCAGGACCACCCCCAUCCAUGGACCAGGAACACGCUACACACGUGGACAAAGACAACUAAAUGAAAGCAAAAGACCACUGCCUAACCAAUUCCACUGCUGGUGGCAGCUUAGGCUGUCACAUGGUGAAGACCAGGGCUGAGGCCUUCACAGGCUGGAUGUGUGGGCCUGCUUUCUCGUAGCCCCUCUAUGUUCCUGUCAGCCUGACAAAUAUACCAGCAAUCAGGCCUUAUAAACAGAAGAGGAAAAAAAAUCACAUCUUCAUCUGAGAAACAGCUGCAUGCAUGGCUUCUCUCUGAAAUACUUUUCAAACUUUAACAUUUUCCA